rnacentral:tRNA from 1 species
AAAGAAUUAGUUAAAAUAUAACAUUAGAAUGUCAAACUAAAAUUAUUAAAGUAUUAAUAUUCUUUA